GAGUUUGAUCAUGGCUCAGAUUGAACGCUGGCGGCAUGCUUUACACAUGCAAGUCGAACGGCAGCGCGGGCUUCGGUCUGGCGGCGAGUGGCAAACGGGUGAGUAACACAUCGGAACGUACCUGGAAGUGGGGGACAACCAGUCGAAAGAUUGGCUAAUACCGCAUACGAUCUACGGAUGAAAGAGGGGGACCGCAAGGCCUCUUGCUUUCAGAGCGGCCGAUGCCUGAUUAGCUAGUUGGUGGGGUAAAGGCCUACCAAGGCGAUGAUCAGUAGCUGGUCUGAGAGGACGAUCAGCCACACUGGGACUGAGACACGGCCCAGACUCCUACGGGAGGCAGCAGAGGGGAAUUUUGGACAAUGGGGGCAACCCUGAUCCAGCAAUGCCGCGUGAGUGAAGAAGGCCUUCGGGUUGUAAAGCUCUUUUGUCAGGGAAGAAACAGAUUAUGCUAAUACCAUAAUUGAAUGACGGUACCUGAAGAAUAAGCACCGGCUAACUACGUGCCAGCAGCCGCGGUAAUACGUAGGGUGCGAGCGUUAAUCGGAAUUACUGGGCGUAAAGCGUGCGCAGGCGGUUGUGUAAGACAGGUGUGAAAUGCCCGGGCUUAACCUGGGGACUGCACUUGUGACUGCACGGCUAGAGUGUGUCAGAGGGGGGUAGAAUUCCACGUGUAGCAGUGAAAUGCGUAGAUAUGUGGAGGAAUACCGAUGGCGAAGGCAGCCCCCUGGGAUAACACUGACGCUCAUGCACGAAAGCGUGGGGAGCAAACAGAU
rnacentral:rRNA from 1 species